rnacentral:rRNA from 1 species
AUUGAACGCUGGCGGCAGGCCUAACACAUGCAAGUCGAGCGGAGCGGCGGACGGGUGAGUAAUGCCUAGGAAUCUGCCUGGUAGUGGGGGAUAACGUCCGGAAACGGGCGCUAAUACCGCAUACUAUCAGAUGAGCCUAGGUCGGAUUAGCUAGUUGGUGGGGUAAAGGCCUACCAGGGCGACGAUCCGUAACUGGUCUGAGAGGAUGAUCAGUCACACGUGAACUGAAACACGGACCAGAGGCCUACGGGAGGCAGCAGUGGGAAAGAUGGGACAAUGGGCGAAAGCCUGAUCCAGCCAUGGGGCGUGUGUUAAGAAGGUCUGCGGAUUGUAAAGCACUUUAAGUUGGGAGUCGUGUCCAACAGAAUAAGCACCGGCUAACUACGUGCCAGCCGCCGCGGUAAUAC